AGUACGUGCAUGUCAUCCAUACCGCUGGACAAGCCUAGCCAGUUCUCAUGGGUAUCGAUAUGAAAUCUAACAUACUUAGGCUUUCAAAAGCGCAUUUGCUAUAAAAUUUUCCAGUCGUAUUAAAACUAGUCAAAUUACACAAAUAGAAUUCUUAUUAUUUCCAGUACGAUCGUUGGACCGGUAAGGCAACAAGGUGUCAAGGGUUGAGGACGACCGUGAAUUAAAAACAUUCUGGCAAAGGGACGUAACGUCGCGUCGUAAACUCAACGUAGAGAGUCAAUUGGUGCAGAACGUAGAAUCGACAGGAUUAAGGAAAUCCUCAUAGAGGAACAGAGGGACUGAUUCGGAAGAUGCGCGUUACGCGAGAGCAGAUACUCGACUGAGUGAUAAACGAGCCUUGAUUGGCUUAAUAUAGUACGUUGCCGGAGUAAUUGGUCGCUCCCUUGCCGUGCGGGAAAUGAUUGGUCAAUUUAAUCCUAGGACGUAGUGCAUUAGGCAUUCAGUCGACGUACAAACUCCCUAUUAACUGUCAUAACUUUGUUCUUCUUCUUAGUCUUACGCUCCAUUUCGUUUUUCUUCUUUUUUCGCUCCUCCUUUUCACGUUAUUUGUAUUUAUUUACAAUUAUUAAUUCAAUCCUCACGCGAACCGUACGGAUAUCAUUCGCGUUUUCAUCCCUUGUUAUCUCUCUCUUUUCUCCCAAAUUCUUCCCACCUUCCUUUCUGUCAAUGCGCUCUUUUUUCUUUCUUGCAUCAUUAUAAUGUGACUAUACCGUACCGAUGUAUUUACGUACCGUACCUACGAGUUCUCCCUCUCUUCGGAUCAAUUUAUCAAUUUAAAUCACUGCAUCGUGACUGUGAAUGGACCGCGCGCACUAUAUCUAUACACAGCGUACGAACUACAUACAUUAUGCGCUAUGUUUGCGUGUAUGCAUGUCGUACAUGUAGUACACCUAUACGGGGUGUGAAGAAAAAUAUUGAAUCAUCGUCAUUCCGACCUGUACGCAGAAAAUAGAUGAAAUUACAUUGCGAUCGUAGAAGGAACCGGAAACACAUGUCGAAUAAUGUGUGCUCUCUACGGUCAAGUUCCCUCUGAAGUAGUUGGAGGGGAAGAAAUGCAGAGAUACGUUCUGCCUACUCACAAUUCAUUGGAUAAAUAAUUAUUCCCACUUUCCCGAGACGGUCAUGUAGAUAUCGGAGGAUAUAAGUGUACGGAGCUUAAAUGUGCCCGGAGAUGAUGAUCUUCGGGGAUUGGGGAAAAUGAGCGAAGGAAAACAGUUGAUAGGGAGCUGUCGGAUACUUCAGAUGCGACAGAGGCAGGAGCAGCUUAGAAAACAGCAGCAGGCGGUUUGUUAUACGUUUGCAAAGUAGUACGUACGUGCAUAAGUACGUGUACGUACCGUGCAUCAUUAUGAUCCGAUGGUGGGAGACUUGAUGUACCAAUAGGAAACGUUCGUUCUUAACUUACAAUUAGAAGGGUGAACAAAAAAGUGGGGAGUACAGGCGGAAAUCCUAUUCUAAACAUGAAUGAAUCGUACGUCACAUUUGAUACGACCAUCGAAUUGGAAAACACCGCAGCAGCGAUAACCGGCGACGAUGUACACAUACCGCGACGAUGUGACGACGGCGCCGAGUCAACAACGUGAAAAGUAAUCGUACCCAGCGACGACGACGACGACGAUGAUGAUCCUACGAAGACGCAAUGAUCCUGGAGGUUCGUUGGACGUGAGGUCUACCAAGGAACUGAUGAUUUUUCGAAAUUGGUCACGAAAUUUAUAUAAUGCCGACAAUGCCAGCUGCAACAGUGCCGACGUUGUAUUAAAGUAAACACAGGGCGGUUACGAUUUGUAUAAUUAGUCAUUGCUGAAUAAUUUUCGGAGAUCGACUACUUCGGUUGUACUUCGAACGUCUUAUUUGUCGAUUGCAGCAGCUGUUGGGGAUUGACCGACGCGAUUAUUAUCAGUGGUCAAGAUGGUCCGAGCUGUGAACACAACAACGAGCAUGUGGAAUAUUAUUUCUGCCCAUUAUUGCGGUCACAAAGCGGAACGUCUCCAAUAAUUACAGUAGAAUUACUGCACUUUUCAUUGGAACAUUCUUCUCAGUGUCGUCAUACUUUCUUUAUUUUUCUUGCCGUUGGUUCUUUUGGUAUCUCAUAAUAUUUCAUGCGAACUUCGACUAGAUUUUGGAUGAAAAAAAGAAUUUCGACGUUAUUUCAAUGAAGACAUUUUUGUCGUUGAAAGUCACGUCAUCAUCCGACCAAGGAGAAGAAUUUAUGAUUGUUUGUGUCAAAUUUGGGCUCCAAGCGCAUAUUGCGACAUGUCGAACAUUGGACGCGGGAUUAUUCAUCGUUUGUUUGAACAAACUACCGAAAGUUCAUCGCCGCAGUGCAAAGGCUGUGUUAUACUCGAGUAAACUUCUCACAACUGACAAUAAGACGGAGAUAAUCGCCGAUGGCAACUAUGACGACUAAUCCUCGACACAUUCUCCAUGGUUUACCAUUGCGAUAGCCGUUAUACAACACGCCCCUAUGCUAUGCAUAUAGCCAUUAUAUGUUAUAUGCCUGCAGUUCUUUCAACGACUCAACGAGUCAUGCAGACUUCAAUUUCAUACUUGGUAAUGAAGAAUAAGUAAAAAGCUAUACACACACCCAUGUAUGUUACCGACGCUAUGAAGAAAUCCCGCUGAAUAAGGGUGGGAGCAUGGUGGAAGUGUGUAUUUUUUCCUCUCUUUUUUCUUUUGAUCAUAUUUUUUUCUUCCUACCCUCGUGUUGUAUAUGAGUUUUCGUUUAUCAUUGUGAAAAUCAGGCUUUGGUUCGUAGCGGGUUUCAAAAGCUGUAUUAUAUACGAUGAUCGCUUCCUUCGGCAAUGUUCAUUUUUGUUAUACCUCCGUGACUUUUCCCAUGCGGGUGUACUGUACGCUCAUUUAAACUCUCCCGCCUUUUUUGUUGGAUGGUCUUUUUUUUGCUGUGUGAAUUACUCUGUUUCACCAAUGGCAUGACAAAUGUUCAUACGAAGUAUAAAAUUGAUAUCACAAACGAACUAAAAUAAACGACAAAAUAGGAUUGCUCGUCCACCUUCUUUUCUACCAACGAAUCGAUUUCUUUUUCUCUUUUUGAUGGGCACACGACCAAAUCUCGCGAAUUUAUUUUCUGGAGAAAAGAAUUACCCGAUAUUUGUUCGGCCAUGCUUUCGGCUUUACGUGGAUACAUGUCUCUACGUGCAAGUUUUUGUUCCGCUUUUUUUUCACAAGAAUGUGAGAUUGUUAAAUGUGUGCAACGUCUGCGUGGGCGUAUAUCUGCAGUUGAACUUCUCAUCCGGCGUGACCGCCACAUUACAUUAAAAACUUAUUUCAUAGGAUCAACCGUAGAUAUAUCUAUAGAUAAACCGUAUUUUGAAAUGUUAGGUUGACGGAAAUUUCAUUUAUACCGUACAUGUUGAUAUUUGAUGUAUUCUAAAUCCUAAUACGGUUUCCGAUAAUUGUUCUUCUAUCUUUAUUAUACCACUGUCGGAAUCUAGAUCUAAGUGCGAGAAUGAAUCGUGUGUUUUGUAAUAGAAUUUCUCGAAUUAUAGGAUACUCAAAAUAACAAUUAUCGCUCUACGAAUUUGCAAAUAACUUCUAGAACGUUUCUUGCCAAUUAAUCUCAAAUUUACACUCACCUAGUUCAAUACUACGUAGGAUAGUCGUAGGUGGUAAUAAUCUAGUUGAUAGUAUUACGAAAAUCGAUCUAUAGAAUUAUAAUUUUCUUUUUCUUCUGUUUUUGGUGAGAAAUUUUUUGGUUUCAAAUUGAGACUUUUUCACGUGGCAGUCUAAAGUAGAGUGGACCGUUCGCAGUCAUCGGGUAUUAAAUUCUCCCCAAUGUACACAUCACGGCACAGAUGCACAGGUGUUUUUUCUAAGGUCACGUGUUAUCAACGAUAUAGAUAUAACUGAAACGUAUAAAAUUCAAAUAUUAUUACAAUAUAUGCGAUAUAAUAUGCCACAUAUCGCGCAAUUCAACGUAUCCCAAUAAUAAGCUCAACGGCGACACCUCUUCGUGACAAAUGGGGAGAAAUGUAAAAUAUUCAUUUAUCCGUCACCGGUUCCAGAGGUCAGGUGGUGCCUGCAGAAUCAAUUGUUAAAAAAAAUGAAAAAGAACAAAGAAUAUUUUGUUUCAAACGACAAGAAGAAUUCAACCUAUCGUUCAUUACCAAAGUAAAAGCCAUUAUCGGCUAUUCGAACUUUUCAAUAGGACUUGUUCAACAUUGUUAGUACACCCUGUAGAUAUGCGAGUAUUUUAAUAUACAUAUUCUUAUGCAUACAGGGAUAGGUGUGCAGGGAUAGGUGUGCAUGUACGUGUCGCUACCAACAUAUUUAACGAUGGUGGCAGUAGGCUCUGAGUGGCGUUAAUUUCAACUUCCUCUCCGUGGAUGAGAUUCAUUCCACGGGUUUCCGGCGCAUACCCACACACCACAUUCUAUCCAAUUUAAUACACUCACCACGGUGAAUUUAUCAACCCGAGAACUUGUGUGCGUAUUAUUUGUACGCUUGUUUCACAUACCCAUAUCGUUAGAUUUGGAUCUGAAGCGUCAAAGAGUAUAACGAAAACCUGGAAUACCGUUGCCAGCCAUUAUUUUGGCAAUUGAAUGUUCAGUUACAACUAUUCGUUGUAUUAUUUUGAAAUUACUUCUUGGCCAGUAGUAGUGGAAUUAAAAUAUAAUAAUAAGAUAUUUUCUCUUCUCUCCCAUUCAGUAGGAAUAAGGAAUGAAUAGCGACGACGAACGCCCACGCGUGGUGUACCCGGUGGAUCGCAUGCGAGUGUCAAAGUACGAUGCAAUGAUUCAGAUGUCAUGGUGUCAGAUGCCUCCCGUCUUCUUUCACGGCGGUUAAAUUGGUGAAAGCAUUACCAAAGAGGGGUUAAACGGUUUCAAUCGGCCUUAACUUCUUUUAAACGCAUACCGGUAUUUCGAACUACGGAGAUAUUGCCAUCGUCGUUAGAUAGGAGGGAAAUUCUUGUGAUUA